UCACUGAUGGAUCCAAGACGGGCUG
rnacentral:piRNA from 1 species